GCCCGGGUGGUCUUUGCCGAAUUGGCCUGUCGGGAGCCCGACGUCCUCAUCCUGGAUGAACCAACCAACAACCUGGACAUCGAGUCCAUCGACGCUCUGGCCGACGCCAUCAACGAGUUCCAGGGAGCGGUGAUCGUGGUGAGCCACGACGCGCGGCUGAUCACCGAGACCGGCUGCCAGCUCUGGGUGGUGGAGGAUCGCGGCCUCAGCCAGAUCGACGGCGACUUCGACGAUUACAAGCGCGAGGUGCUGGAGGCGCUGGGCGAGGUCAUGGUCGCCCGGCCCCGGGACUGAGGGCUGGGGGUGGGGGGGCAGCCCCCUGGGACCCCCCCAAAACACCCCCCACAGCCCCAAGGUGCUGGUAAUAAAGAGCAACGGUGCGGCCA